CAGCAAUUCUCCAAGAAGGAGAUCGAGGACCUGCUGAGGAAAGGAGCCUACGCCGCCAUCAUGGACGAGAACGACGAAGGCAACCGCUUCUGCAAGGAGGACAUCAACCAGAUCCUGCAGCGAAGAGCCACCAUCAUCACCAUCACCAGUUUGCUUCAAGCAGUGGCUGCACGAGAAAGACGUGGAGGACCAAGAAAUGCUGGCCAGAUUGGCAAAGACCGGAAGAUACAUAACAGAGAAGAUAAUGGAUAUUAA